GGGCUUGUGGUCUAGUGGUAUGAUUUUCCCUUAGCAUUUAGCGUCUCGGAUACGAGAUUCGGCGUGGGAAAGGUCCUGGGUUCAAUUCCCAGCAAGUCCA
rnacentral:tRNA from 1 species